rnacentral:rRNA from 1 species
GAUGAACGCUGGCGGCGUGCCUAAUACAUGCAAGUCGAGCGAACAGACGAGGAGCUUGCUCCUCUGACGUUAGCGGCGGACGGGUGAGUAACACGUGGAUAACCUACCUAUAAGACUGGGAUAACUUCGGGAAACCGGAGCUAAUACCGGAUAAUAUAUUGAACCGCAUGGUUCAAUAGUGAAAGACGGUUUUGCUGUCACUUAUAGAUGGAUCCGCGCCGCAUUAGCUAGUUGGUAAGGUAACGGCUUACCAAGGCAACGAUGCGUAGCCGACCUGAGAGGGUGAUCGGCCACACUGGAACUGAGACACGGUCCAGGCUCCUACGGGAGGCAGCAGUAGGGAAUCUGCCGCAAGGGGCGAAAGCCUGACGGAGCAACGCCGCGGGAGUGAUGAAGGUCUUCGGAUCGUAAAACUCUGUUAUUAGGGAAGAACAAAUGUGUAAGUAACUAUGCACGUCUUGACGGUACCUAAUCAGAAAGCCACGGCUAACUACGUG